GUCAAAUUUCAUUCGUUAUUUUAAGAACCACAAGGAAAGAUUAUUUUCAGAAGAUUGCGGAGCGGUGGGAAAAGUCAUAUGUGAGACUUGAACACUGACCAGGAGCAAGACUGCCAAAGAGUCCGACAACCUAUCAAACUCAUGUCAUCCUUCUCAUCUGCCUCAUCGGAGGAGGAGGAAGAUCAACUAAAACUCUCCCCUAAAAAAAGGAACAUCAAGAAGGCUGCUCCUAAAGCCCCUCCUCCAUUACAAGUUUGUGUGAGACCGAAGACAAACCACCAAAAUGUGUUUUGCCCUCCCAGUUCCAGCUAUCUGAGUGGAGCUGGUUCACAGGCCAGACCACCAUCAGGCUUUCCAGGACUGAAUUGGAUGGAUGAACAGGAGAUCAGCUCAUCGGCAGUUAGGCAAAGGCCGGGGGGCGUGUUUACUGAGAUGAGUUGGAGGCCAGGAGUGGAGGUCCAACCUACCUCAAAUUGAAGAAAAUAACACUCCAGGAAAUCCAAGGCCUUGUUUUCCGACCUGUGAGCAAAGUGUUCAAAACAACUGUACAGGUACUUGUUGUUUAACUGAGGCAUUAUGAUGACUGCACCAAAUGCAUCUCUAUUAACGCUCCUAAACGAGCAAAUAGCACAGCACACUUUGGCUGCCCCUAUGUGGCAACAGCCACUACAAAUGUCAAACAAUUUCUAUGUAAUAUGGGUAGUGGGCAAAUGUUUUUUUUUAAAUUUGAUAUUCGUUGGGAUUUCAUUUAAUAAUGAUAUGUUCUCUUUUGUCCAAUGGCAACGGAAACACUAAUGAGUAUACUCAUGGUCAAGAUGGAACAACUUCAUCAAAAGGUGGAGCAUUUAAGCUCACAGAUACAACCUCAAAACUGUCCUCCAGAGGGGGACAGAAUGUUAAGCAGACGGUGUGGCGUGUUGCGGGAAGGUCUUGACACCGGACAUGGCAACCCAGUUGAACUGGUGCAGGAGGGGGCAGAAGACUGGCAUCCGGUCAAUGCCAGUGAAAGACGUUAUCAGGGGUUUUGAUCUUAAAAACCCACGAUUGCCAGAAAUAAUGGAGGCAAAGUUUGAAAAGGCAGUUCAGAACUGCCUCAGGCUGAGCCAAGACUGACUCGAGACCUGCAGAAGAAGAAUUUGCACAAUUGUUGGGCAUUUUAUUUAAGUUGCUUUUUGUUUUUCUAAAAUGGUACUUUUAGUAAUAAAGUUCAUACUUUAGUCUUUA